UACGGGGGGGGUAAGCGUUGUUCGGAAUUACUGGGCGUAAAGGGCUCGUAGGCGGCCAACUAAGUCAUACGUGAAAUCCCUCAGCUUAACUGGGGAACUGCGUCUGAUACUGGAUGGCUUGAGAUUGGGAGAGGGAUGCGGAAUUCCAGGUGUAGCGGUGAAAUGCGUAGAUAUCUGGAGGAACACCGGUGGCGAAGGCGGCAUCCUGGACCAACACUGACGCUGAGGAGCGAAAGCCAGGGGAGCAAACGGG
rnacentral:rRNA from 1 species